GUCCACGCCGUAAACGAUGUCGACUGGCGGUUUGGUUGCCGAAAGGCGACUGGGUCGCUAAGCUCACGCGAGAAGUCGACCGCCUGGGGACUACGAGCGCAAGCUUAAAACUCAAAAGGAAUUGACGGGGGCCCGCACAAGCAGCGGAGCGUGUGGUUUAAUUCGAUGCAACACGAAGAACCUUACCCAGGUUUGACAUGGACCUGCAAGCGCCGGAAACGGCGUCGCCUUCGAGGUGGUACACAGAUGCUGCAUGGCUGUCGU
rnacentral:rRNA from 1 species